CUUUUUGUUAUAGCCGAUAAGAGUAAUCGGGCAAGACGAUGUAGGUUAAAGGCCCCAGUGAUUGGUGCUGGGUGGCAGCACAGGGAAACAGGGAAAUAUUGAAUUGACCGGGACGGUUCAAAAAUUGCCUAAUCUUUUUUUUUGGAACCUCAUUUUUGCUGGCUGGUUCAUUUUUUGGAAGCUUAACUAAGUGGAACCCACCCGAGAAUAGACCAGAAAAUAAUAAUAUAUACAACUCUUAAAAUCAUAUUAUUAAGUGCAAAAAAUUAAAGAAAAAAACAUUUUCUGAAACUCUUUGUUUCCGAUAGCAUUUGUCGAAUACAGCAUCGUUAAAGCAUCGUUAGAUUUAGCAGACAGCUAUGCCACCUUUAUGUCGCUAUGCAUUAUGAAUUUUGUGUUUCUCUCGCUGUUUUCGUUUAGUUAGUUGAUUUUUUUCGGAGAGUAACAUCAUUCUGUGAAAAUGUCACAAAAACGACAUUUUGGAAGAAGUUUUGCCCAAAAAUUCUGAAAGUGACGAGGAUGAUGACGCCGAUGGAGCAGAAAUUUUAACGAAUUUACAAGCCAGAGAAUUAAUUCCUCAACUCAAACAUUAUAUUUCAUGAUGUGUCAAAUGGUGUCUUUGACAACCUAAUAUGUAGGCUUAGAAAACGCAAUGAAAAAAAAUAA